CUUUACUUUUUCUUCUUUUAGACUGCGAUUUCUGAAGACAAAAAUUAGGGUGCAAUAAAGGCAGCUUGCAAUUGUGGUUCUUCCCAACAAGUAUGUACGAAAGGCAAACAAAGAUGGAGUGUCGAUUGCACUUAAAAUCGACGAACUGAUUAAAAGCCUGGUUACCUAACCUUGAAUAGAGCUCUGUUCAACGUCGUGUACCUACAGACUAACCAAAAGGUGAUUAAAAUUUAAAAUUGACUUCAUUUGUUUCCCCUUCUAAUUCAUAUUUCUCCUUUUUUCACAGAAAAAACCGCGGAAUUUAAUUAUGAUGCUUCGUCGUCCGUCUGUCUGUCCGAGGUUUCGUGUAUAAAAUGUCGAUUGGGAAUACCAAGCCACGCUGGGUUAGCAAUGGCGCAAAAUCAGCGGCUCCCUCGAUGGAUUGGAUGGGCGAUGGUGUGGCUUGUAGGCUCCAAUUAUUCAGGAAUUUUUAGGUUUAAGAUUUAUUUUCUUGUUUUAGAUUUUUAGUUAAUUUUUUUGGUUUUUUUUUUUUCAAUUUUGUUAAAUUGUUUCCAAACUUUGUUUUAAUUUUAAGAAAAGUUCAAUUUGUCUUCUAAUUUUAAAUUUUUGUGAAAACUAUUUGUUUUGUUUUCUUUCAACUUUUAGCCUUUUGUUGUUAAAUUUUGCUUAAUUAUUUUAAGGCUUCCAAUUUUGUUAAAAAAAGUUUGUAUUUCGUGUUGUUGGUAUAUGUGUUUCAAACAAAUAAAAACAUUGAAUUCACUUCUCAACAAGUGGUUCAUCACCAAAAACUUUGUCGGCUUUUUUUUCUUCGCUGGUUACAGGGAGCCACGCAUCCAAUCUUCUUCGCAGGCAAAAUCAAAAAGGACAGAUUUUUUUUACAAUUUUUGCCAGGAAAUUCUGGCUGCCAUUUUCCUCGCUUAAUUUUCCCAUUUUCUUUUUACAUUAUUCCCUAAUAUUGACAUUUAAGUAAUUGGAAUAAUCAGCUGUUCUUUAGUAAUUGUUCUUCUUCUUCUAGCUAUCAAUUAUUUUCAGGGUUACCCCUUUUAAAGGCGCACACCACAAAGCCAACUAUCCUGCUGAUAUCCUUAUCGAAGGAUAGGGGGAAAAAAAGUGCGACCUUUGGUUUAAAAAUGCAAAAAAAAAUCAAUGGUUUGAUAGGGUAUUUACAAAAAAUCGGUGUUUGGCAUCCCUAAUAAUCGCAGUAUGGCAUCCCUAACUCUGAUUUUCCAAAAUAAAAUUAAAUUUUGGUCUGAUUUAUUUAUUACAAUAUUAAGCUCCAUUAGCCCGUAGGAACAUGGUAUAACGUUUACGUCAUACGCCACGCGUUAUCGUUUAGUCUGACGUACGGUGACUACCGAUAAUAGUGACUUUCGAUAGUAGUGACGUUUAUGAAUGAAAACAAUCGGAGUACGCGUCUAUUGUAAUUUUUUUUUUUGGCGGAUUGGAGCACGGACGGACGGAAAAGUUUGGAGCUGGAGAAAUUAUAAAAUUUUAGAUUGGUGACUGCCUACGUUUGGAUUGAACGAAAGGUAAGAUUGAAACCUGAUAUUGUCUUUUUCUGUAGGGGUACCCUCAACUAGGUCCACACUUUGGUCAGAUUGUUGGAUACGAUAUUGUUUCAAAUGCAUUUAGAUGUGUUUGAUCGUGUCUUCCCGCUUCCAGACUCUAACGUCGUAAAUCGAUGACUGAAAGCUCUGCGACCUUGUGUACAACACUCUUCUGCCUUGUGCCAUAGUUGCGUAUGGGAAUAUAAAGGAAGAGCGCACAAAGGGUCAAGGACAGUCACAACGUGACUGCUCAGGAAUCGUAGACAUAUGGUUAGAGUCGGUAAACCUGGGAUGCUUCCGUUCGUAAUCCAACGUAUUCUUUCUGACCACUGCUGUUGGUGUCUAGGCGAGUGGCCUCCUAUGGUUACAUGAAAAAAUUUUCAAUGGUCUUAAUGUUCGAAAAGACGACUAGAGAAUUUACUUAACUUGGAUAUCUAAUUCACAAAAGACAUUUAUUACCUACCGGCGACUUAAUUUGCCUCUCCUGUGAAACCAGGAAAUUAUAUUUGAUGGUAAGUUCGAGUAAUCCUGUUCUCCUUUUUUCUCCAACAGGUGUACCAUCGACUAGACCUUCAGCUUUUGUCAGAAUGUCGGAUACGAUGGUUUGCAAAUGCACUUAGGUGUAUUUGUUCUUUUUGUCUUCUGGCUUCCAGACUCUAGUGUCGUAAGUCGGGUGAAGGACGGAUCUGCGACCUCGUGUACAACAGUUCCCUGGCCCGUGCCAAAGAGCGAACGGCUACUGCUUCACCGCGAAAGGGGAAUUGCACUAAUGGUCAAAGACAGUCACCAGGUGACUGCUCCGGAUGCGCAGACAUCAACUAGAGUCGGUAAACCCAGAGUGCUUUAAUUCGUACUCUGACCUCACAAUUCUGACAUCUGCUGUUAGAGUCUAGAAGAUUGGACUCCUGUUCGGAUGGAAAAAAACAGGGUUCCGAACUUCAUCAAAUGUUCUAGCCGAUACUUGUGGUGGGACUACGGUCAGCGCUUUAGAAAUGAACGUAAGUUGUAGUUUUAAUUCUAUUUCGUAGUUUUCGUAAUUUUGCUCUGGAAAAUGAGAAAAAUUAUGAGAACACUAUCUAUUUUAAACUUAAAUUUUGUAAUUUAUAACCAGAAUUUAGCAAAAAAAAAACUUUGUAAGUAUGGCUUGAGAUGGAUAUUUCAAAUUUAAUUUUAUUUUUAUGUUAGUCAUUUUUAUUCGAUUUUUUUCUAUUUUGCCAAUAAUCCUACAUAAUGAUAUUUCACUAAUUCAUAUUUUUUUUUCUCUUCUUUAUAAAAAAAACUGGAGAAAUGGGUUUCAACCUUUACCCAUACACAACUACACAUCACUCAGGAAGGAAAAGCUGUCCUACAGCUUGUGAAAA